rnacentral:snoRNA from 1 species
UCUCUCCCUUAAGAAAACAUUUCAUUUCCCAUCAGAUCUGAACACUAGUCUUGGUGAUCAUAAAAGGAGAAAAAGGGAUACUGGAGUUGGCCUCACAGUUUCACAGUCUGGCAUAUAACAUGUGGGCUGGUUACAAACAGGA